rnacentral:rRNA from 1 species
UACAGAGGUCUCAAGCGUUGUUCGGAUUCAUUGGGCGUAAAGGGUGCGUAGGUGGCGGGGUAAGUCAGGUGUGAAAUCUCGGAGCUCAACUCCGAAACUGCACUUGAUACUGCCUUGCUCGAGUACUGGAGAGGAGGUUGGAAUUUACGGUGUAGCAGUGAAAUGCGUAGAUAUCGUAAGGAAGACCAGUGGCGAAGGCGAAUCUCUGGACAGUUACUGACACUGAGGCACGAAGGCCAGGGGAGCAAACAGG